AAUUUUGGACAAUGGGGGCAACCCUGUACCAGCCAUGCCGCGUGUGUGAAGAAGGUCUUCGGCUUGUAAAGCCCCUUAAGGUGGGAGGAAGGGCAAUAAGUUAAUACCUUGCUGUUUUGACGUACCCGCCAGACUAAGCACCGGCUACCUUCGUGCAAGCCGCCGCGGUAAUACGAAGGGUGCAAGCGUUAAUCGGAAUUACUGGGCGUAAAGGGAGCGGAGGUGGUUUGUUAAGUUGGAAGGAAAUGCCACAGGCUAAACCUGAGAACUGCUUUCAAAACUGGCAAUCUAGAGUAUGGCAGAGGGUGGUGGAAUUUCCUGUGUACCGGUUAAAUGCGUAGAUAUAGGAAGGAACACCAGUGACGAAGGCGACCGCCUGAGCUAAUACUAACACUGAGGUGCGAAAGCGUGGGGAGCAAACAG
rnacentral:rRNA from 1 species